AACAAAGGGUGACCCAGAGUUGGGACAGGGUCAUUGUUCGCAUCUCUGUGCAAAACCAGCUUCCCCUGCCUCCCCCAGCAGCUACUGGAGUGGAAGACCCAGCUUCCUUGCCACUGAUAUUCUCAGGAGCCCCACCAUCGGCAGAAGAAACAAAAACGUAGCUGUUAUGUAGUGACCUGGAGGACAGAUGGGUUGCUGAGCAUCUUUAGGAAUCAUAGAAAUAGUGGGAAAGAAGGGGAAAUCUUUCUGGGGAAAGACAACGUUGACAUUCCUUCUUCAAGAGAUGGCAUCUAUAUUCCCUCCCCUUGACUCUGGGCUGAACUUUGAAACUGCAGAAGUGAUAUGACUUCCAGAUGCUACAGAAAAAAAUGGCUUUAAAAAAACAGAUGUUGAAGGGAGAAAUGAUCUUCAACAAAUAAGAGGACCUAUUCAAGAUCCAUGGAUGUAGUAAGCAAAAUCUAUCAAGACUCACUUGGCUUCACCAUCCCUGAACUGUGGCCUGGAAACUCCCUCAAGUUUUCAUAGGAAAGAGCGACAAAGAAGAAGUAGGAAGACACGGGGAGAAAGGAGAGGACCAGAAGUGAAG
rnacentral:lncRNA from 1 species